CAUAUCACCAGUUCCCAUAUGAUCACUGAAGUUAAGCAAUGUUAAGCUUAAUCAGUACUUAGAUGAGUGACUGCUUGAGAAUAUCAGGUAC